CUGGCUUCCAUUUUUGAGCUAUAAAUACAUUCCCAUGUCUCAACACAGACAAUCAAUCUUCUAAGCCUGGCAGCAAAGCAAGUAAGCAAGAGAUCAAUCUUAUUAUUACGUUUCCUAAAGAUUGAGUGAGGAAAGAUGGAGAUGAAGAAAGUGAUGGUGAUGGUGAUAGUGAUGGUGAUAGUGAUGAUGAUGAUGGGGGGAAGUGUGGAGGGUGAGCCAACAUGCAGCCCAGCAGGAAGAAUAUAUUGCAGCCCAGGGAGGUGCUGCAGUAAGUUCAACUGGUGUGGGGAUAGUGAUGCCUACUGUGGAAGGCAAAACUGCAUUGCCCAGUGCAGGUCUUCACUCAAUCCACUGAGUUAUGCAUCCACUCUUCUCACAGUCACUAAUUUCACCAUGCCAGACAUUAACAAUCCCUAGACCAGAGCUUGCCUUUACAAGUAUAUAUAAAGUGAAUAAAGCAGGACGUCACUUGAUGGUUGUGAACCUGGGGUGGCGUUUUUGUCUUGGUUUCUAUGUAGACAGUACUAUGUAUUUAUAAAUAAAUAACACCAGGAGUUUUUCUAUAGUUAAA